UCCAUCUUGGUUUACAACAAGCUAUACUAAGUUUAAUUAACCCAAAUGACAAUAUUUACUCCAUCUUGGAUAAGGUUACAACAAACUAUACUAGAAGUUUAAUCAACCCAAAUAACAAUAUUUACUCCAUCUACCAAGAACAAACAAGUGGAGUAAUAAAUUUUAUUCUUCACAUUUUGCCUAUUGCAUGCAUGUUCUCCAUCUCUUGCUUCAUUCCGUUAAUCUUUCGAAGUAAUCCGGAAAUUAUUUGUCUUGAUCUAUCACACAUUGGAGGAUCAUACAAAGCAAAAAACUGACAAGCAUUCCUCUGUAAACAAAGAAGUUUUCAAUUUUAUGUGCAAGUAAAUUGAAUGGAAGAGAUAUAUAAAAAAAUUGAAACCCUAACACACUUACUUUUCCAUAAUUCGGACAUGAUAAAAUCAUUCUUCCUGGGUUUGAAUCGGUCCAUGUUGUUUUAAGUUGAGCUCGCCUCUCACAAUCACAAUGUGCGUUCAUGGCUGCUCAUAUCCUUCCUAAAAUCAUUAUUCCGAGAACUAAAUUCGAGAAAUUAAAUAGUACUAGAAGUCCUAAAUUUCGAAUUGAAGAGACGUGAGCAUGAGAAUCAAUUAAAUAUGAAAAUUAAUUGGGCCGUUAAGGAGAUGUAUCUGUAGUUUAAAAGACAUUCAACCUAACGAAGUUCCUAUGUUUCUCAAUAUAAAGUCCAGUCCAAUUAGAGAUGUGAUAUAAACUAAACUAUAACUACUAUUUAACUCAUCCAAUUUGUUAAAAACAAGUUCGGGAAAAUGUUUUAGCAACCGAUUUUUUUUUUGAGAAUUUAUGAUGCAGUUGUAUCCCUUCAAGUGAUCCCUGCAGGAAUCCUUGGAACCUAUUUUCAUUUGAAUUUAUUUACAUUUUUUAUAAGUUCAUGUCCACAAAUAUAUGUUUUUGGAUCAAGUAAAACAUAGGAUAAAUAAAUUUUCAUUUGAUAUUAUCUACUAAAAUAAUCUUUUAGGAUCAUCAUCCAAAAUACUUGAAUCUUUCUAAAACUACCUGCUCCAACCUCGAAUUCCUAUUUGAUGAGCUCUAUUUUUCCUUGCUUUCUACAUUCAACAUAGCUACUAUUAAUAUUUCUAUUCAAUAGUUAUAAUUUGCAGUAAAUAUUUAAACCCCAAUACAUAUACCAGGUUAUUUCCUCAACCUCCUAACCCCUGUAAAUAUUUGAAAACAAAUAAAUACUUCAUACUCAAAUAAACAUCCAUAAACACACCUUAGAAUGUUAAACCUGCCUUGCAUCACCCACCUCCAGUAAGUAUGCACAUCCUCCACUAAACAAAUUAUAAACUUUACAAAGGAAAAUCCCUAAAACUGAAACUAUUGUCAACUCAAAACAAAGGAAAAUUCUUGAAUUCAAACUAUUGUCAGCUCAAAAUAAAGGAAAAUCUCUAGUACUCAACAAAACUUUCAUGAAUUGAACUGGGUCAAAAUUAUUGAAAACCAAAACAAAAAAAUCCAAAAUUUUAAGCAUAAUUCAACACUAACAAAAUGCAGAAACCCACUUCAAAUUUUCUCAACAGUAGACAAUUCAAGCAUCAAAAAGACCAGACAACAUUAUUAAGAGUAUAUAUUAAUCGAACACUGGAACGAGAAGAAAAAAGAGGGGGGUUUGUUGCUCUGACCCAAUUGGAACGACUAGAUGGCCGGACGAGGUUUGGUGAGCCGUGCAGUGAAUUGAGCGAACGAAAGAAGAAAUAAGGGUCGAAUUUAGGAGAUCUGCACUGCACGGGGUUUGGUGAGCCGAACGAAAUCGACGAGAGUGAAUUGAGCUAAGGUCUCGUGUGUUAUUUUGGAUGUUCAGAGUGCGAGGAGAGAGAAGAAAUAAGGGUUUUGUUUGUUUUGGCUGAUCAGGGUGCGGGAGAGAAAAAAUUUGGGUCUUAUUUAUAGGUGAGUUGGGUGAGUAAGAUAGUGGCUAAUCGGGUAUGAUAUAUAUAUAUAUAUAUAUAUAUAUAUAUAUAUAAGAUGUAAACGCACCGGAUUUGCUAUCCAUGCUCAAUCAAAUUCGAGUUCGAUGAUAUAUAUAUAUAUAUAUAUAUAUAUAUAUAUAUAUAUUAGUAGAAAUCUGAAAAAUCUUACAGUGGGCUGCCAAGGACUUUAGAUAGCUUUUGAUGCCUGAAAACUCGGUUUCUGUGACGUCCCCAAAAUAAGUAUAAAUCACUCAUUCUGAGUCGUCAAAUACAUGGUACAGAACUUAAAUGCAAACUUCAUUUAUACAAUACGACAAAACGUAGCUGAAAGUUUUAACACGGAUAGUCUCGUAUAUUGUCUCGUAGACAAUAUCCAAACUCAAAUGGAGUUUGCAUUAUAAUUAUAAUUACACUACUUCACAGAAUAGUGAGGACUACUAAAUCAACAAUCUGGACCGUCACUCCAUUCCCCGACUAGUCCCAACUAUAUUCUGAUUUCCUAAAGAGAACAAUGAAAGCAAAUGGUGAGCUCAACUAACCCAGUAAAGAAUAUUAUAACUAAAAUAAUGGAGAAUAAAUUAUCGUUAGCCUUCAACAGUAUAACAACUAAUAUAAUACAAUAGACGACAAGUUUUAGAUCAACUGCAGCGGAAAUAACAAUCCAUUAGAAGAGUCAAGUAGAACAUGAUAUCUACUAUCUUCUAUGAUUUAAAAGUUUAUCAUCAAUUUUAUCGCUGAAACUUGGCUCAAUAAAUAAUUCACAUCACUGAAUUAUCCAUGCACUGCGGGCCAAGAAUAUUCAUUAUUAUCACAUCCACAAAUCAUUCAUGCACUACGGGCCAAGGAUAUUCGUUAUUAUCAUCAAUGGUCAUGACCAUGCCAAACAACAAUUCAUUUUUUGCACCCUUGACCGAAGAGAACGCAUGGUCAUGAUCAUACCAACUGUCCAUCAAUGCACUACGGGCCAAUGAGGACUUACCACAUCAUUUGUAACAUUACAGGUCAUGAUUAUACCGAUACAUAAUUCCUGGUCAUAAUCAUACCAAUCAACAGUUCAUCUAUACACUACGGGCCAAAGAUAAUUUUUAUCACAAUAUAAGCAUGAGGAUGAUGACAAUGAUAUAAGCAUCAAUCAAACGAAAUCAAGGAUAAAUAUUAAAGACUUUAAAUUUAUCCAGAGUUUAAAAAUGUCCAAAUUGUCAUCAUGAUAACUGCUUUGUGGAGUAAAAUUCAAGAAUAAUAUUGUAUCAAAAAUAAUUUGGACAGAAAAGAAAUCAAUUUAUGUCAUGAAUAGUACCCCAGUGAAUAGUACCCGAGUGAAUAGUCCUUCGUGAAUAGUACUUCGUGAAUAGUGUCAUACGUAUGAAUAGUAUCCAUGAAUAGUACUCCGGCAUGAAAAGCUUAAAAUUUAACAAUAAUGUUCAGAAAAAUAUCCUUGUGAAACUAUACUAGAUAAAGCGCAAAUUUCAAGUAUAUUCUACUAAUUUCAAGGAGUAUAGAAGCAAUAUUUAACAAAAUGACUGUAGAAUUAGGAAUAUAAAACGAAAUAAUAUUACUUACAUACUACAGAGUAUGGAAGAAAUUAUUUCUUACGAAUAUUGAACAAAAAUAAUAUCACUUACAACUGUUGAACGAAAAUAAUAUUCUUUACGAAUAUUAAACGAAGAUAAUAUUUCUACAAAUAUUGAACGAAAAUAAUAUUCCUUACAAAUAUUAACGAAAAUAAAAUUUCUUACGAAUACGAAAAAUAAUAUCGUAAGCGAAUAUGAAAUAAAUAAUACUUCUUACUACUGUUGAACGAAAAUAAUAUUCCUCGAAUAUUAAACGAAGAUAAUAUUCCUUAGAAACAUUGAACGAAAAAUAAUAUUCUUUACGAAUAUUGAACGAAAAUAAAAUUUCUUACAAAUACGAAAAAUAAUAUCAUAAGCGAAUAUGAAAUAAAUAAUACCCCUUACCUUAAAAAGAAAAGUAUUCCGACUGGUAUAGCGGAGAUAUUCUUGAAAAAAACUUGCAAUGUUUUCUACACUCAAAACUUUCUUAAACUCUAAAGAAAUACGCUCAAUAUUAUAGAAGAAGAAUUCUCUGAUUCUGGUGUGAUUUUCAAUUCUAAACUAAGCAUCCUAUUUAUAGGAGAAUCGCAGGAUACUAUUUGGAUCCACAAUAAGGAAAAAAUCACAGACUGCACAGUAACUUAUUCACGGAUUUCUGACGAAUUUUCUGAUUUUACUAUGCAGCACUAUGCAAACACUAUACAAACACCAUGCAUAAUAAAUUAAAAUAUAUUCUAUUUUUCAUAAAAAAAUAAAACUUAUUAUAAUAUAUAUAUAUAUAAAUAGNNNNNNNNNNNNNNNNNNNNNNNNNNNNNNNNNNNNNNNNNNNNNNNNNNNNNNNNNNNNNNNNNNNNNNNNNNNNNNNNNNNNNNNNNNNNNNNNNNNNAAAUACUUAAUAAAAAUCCUCUCUAUUUAUCUCAAUUCACUUGGCUUCACAAAAUAUAUUUUUAAUAAUAUUUAUCAUUAAUAUUAUAACUCACAAUAUUAACCAGAUCAUUCUCAGAAAAGAGGGGGCUUUCCAAUAAGAACUUCUCCUUAUUGACGCGCAAUUAGGUGACCAAACCCCUUUCCUCGACAGAAUUUUCUAGACCUCGUCAAUAAUGCAAAUAUUAAUAUGAAUAACUUUGUCGUUUCAAUUAUUGAUUUAAUAAUAUAAAAUAUUGUGAUAAUAAUUGAAUCAAUAACGUAAAAUACUAUGCAGCAAUUACUGUGGCAAUAAUUGAGUAUAACUGAAUGACUUCUCACGUAAACAUCAAAUAUCGUGUGCUACUAUGCAACGCGUAUUACUGUAUUUUUAUCACCGGGUAUUUCAACAGUUAACGAUAAAACCUUAGCUUUUAUUUUUAUAAAAAUUUAUUUCUGUCGUUUUCUAACUCCAACAGUAAUUCCGUUGUGAGGUCCACCAAUGAUUGUGUCAUCGUACGAAUAUUCCUUGAUAAAACGAAAAUUCCCCGACCAAACGAAUAUUUUAUAACUUGCUUACUUUGCAAAAUUUGUAAAUAUUACUCACAACUAUAACAUUAUAUCAAAUCCACACCUUAUUAUUCAAAAUAAUAUUUAGAAAAAAUUAAAUCUUUAUUCAUAAAAGUUGGGGUCUUACAGUUUCCACCGGUUAAACUUCAGUAUGUUACAAAACACGAGCUCAGUUUAGAGCACGCUAGUAGGGGUUACAGGCCGAAAUGGACAGAGUUUUCUCUCUUUUUUCCUUUUUUUUCAAAUGAGAUAUAUAUAUAUAUACAUAUAUAUAUAUAUAUAUUUACAUUUCUGUCAAGCCUGGAGUUUACUUCGUGAUCAUUUACCUCUUUUAUAUAUAUAUAUAUAUAUACAUAUAUAUAUAUAUAUAUAUAUAUAUUUACACACAUUUCAAAGUCCUGCCUAAAGUUACUUUGUGGCAGUUAAUCGUCUAUGUGUAUAUACUUAUAUAUAUAUUUACAGCUUUUAUAUAAAUAUCUGCUUUAACUGCUUUCAUAAUAUAAAUAUUUAAUCUUUCAGCCUGCGGGCUAGAUUUGCUUAAAUCUGGCUAUUUCUAACUUUGACUGGUUCAAAAGUGACUAAACUAGAACCGUUGAAGCUAAAAUGGUUUAGAUUUACUCAAAUUUAGUUUUUUCUAGCUUUUGUACAUAUCACUCUUUCAUGUGAGCCUAGGAAUCAUGUGCACAGAUUCAGUCUCUGAAUCUAGAUUCGGUUCUCAAAAUGGACAUUUUUCAACUACAGUCAGCUUGUAAAUUAUCUAAGGUUUCUGGAUAUCCUUAGAUGGCUCUCAUGCCCACAAGGAGUUCGGCACUACUAUGUAUUUAAUUUUCUCGAAGAUGACUCGCAUCUCAAAAAUAAAAGCAAUCAAGCUGAACAUAUAAUAAAAUGAAAGUAUCAAAUGCCUCAAUUAUUAUUGAGCACAAGGGUUUGAAAACAUGUUUUCUAAAACAUCACUACUAUAUCUUGUUAAAAUUAAACUUUUAUACAAAAGUCAAAACCCUUCGUAUAUAAGUGCAAACGAGACAUAGCACUACUUCCAGAUAAUUGCAUAUAGGCUCUACACAUGCAGAUAAAAGUUAAUGAAAAGUGUCGGUAACCGUGUUAUCACGGAAGUCGGGGGGUGCCCAACACCUUCCCUCCGCUUAAUCAAGCCCCCGAACCCUAACCCUAACGAAACUCGGUUUCCAAGACCAGUUAAACAGUAUCAAACCAUUGAGUCUUUGCGCAAACCUUUCAUCGGUUGAGUUAAUGGAACCAUUUAAAAUUACCAACUGACAACUCUAACAGUCAAAUCGUCGACAUAUACAUGUCAAACCUUUUCAAACUUGUUUUUUCAAUCAAAACUCAUCUAAAAUGAGAACACCAAAAGACAACAGAAAGGGACAAAUAAAAAUCCCGACGUCGACAGUAAGAAUCCACACCAAAACAAUCGAUUUGGAUCGCUUUCUAACACAUGGAUAUUAGACUAGCCAAAUAAAAUGGUGUCAACACUCUUCUCAGUACAUUUAGAAUGUUCAAUAUUCGCAACAAGAUUCAAAGAAUCAUUCAAGAAUAUAAUCAUGAUUUAAAUCAGGUUUCAGAGUAAAUAAUAAUAUUCAUGAAUUUAGAUAUCACUGGAAUCAUUCAAACAAAUAAUUACUCGUAUGAUCAAUAAGAGUACAAGUUUAGGUACUUACUCAAUAUAUAUUAGGAAACUUGCAUAAUAUACAGGGUUGUGCAAAUUUGGGAACUUGCCUGAGUAAUUAACUAUUUUCGACCUUGACUUCUUAUCCUUUGAAUAACUUAUGGUUUUCAUAAAGGUUAAUCUCUAUUAACCCACAAAUGUAAGCCUAAUUGGUCUAAUUUACUAGCCUCAUAUACUUGGGGCUUACAAAUUAAUCUACUUUUAUUUAAUUAGUUAUUCAUCACUCUCUUUAUUCCAUUUAUUAGUCUUCACAUUUAUCUCAUUUAUUAGAACUAAAAUAAUAUUUCAUUAUUUUACUUGUUUAAAUAAUGGUUCACAAUUUUAUUUAUUUAUUCAUAACUCAUUGUACAAACAAAGCAUUCUCACUUUAUUUUGUUAACAUUUAAUUACUAUUUAAGUAAUUUUCUUAAUUACUAUUCACUUUAUUAGUCCACAAAUAAGAUAAUCUAAUUAUCACUUUAUUUGUUUAAUCUAUUAUUAGAAAUAUCUUUAUUAUCGUUUUAUGCAAACACAAUAACCUUAAAAUUAUUGUUUAUUCUCCACAAUUAAAAUAAUCUCUAAUAUUACUUUAAUUGUUUACACUUUGCUAACUUACAAUUAUCUUUCAAUUUAAAAUGGUCUUUACAAUUACUUACAAUUAAAAUAACAUUUAUUAUUAUUUUAAUUGUUUACAAUUUAUCAAUUCAUAACGUUAUUGAAGUUGUUUAUACUUCACUAUUAAAAUACUUAUUAUCUUAAUUGUUUAUUAGUCCACAAUUAAAACAAUCAUUAAUAUUAAUUCACAGUUAGAAUAAUUUUAAUUUUCUACUCACAAUUAAAAUAGUCUUUAUUAUUUUAAUUGUUCAAUUAUAGUUAAUGUAAUCAGCAAUGUACAAUUAAAAUAUUAUUUUAAUUGUUUAUUAACAACUCACAUUUAUUAUUAAUCAUUAUUUUAUUUUAUUUUUUUAUUAUCCUUAUUUUAUUUCAUUUUAUUUAAAAAAAUAUGUUCUGAUCCGUUUGACCAUGACCCGACCCGGUUUGACCCGGAUCUGGGUCAACUGCAAAAUUGACCUACCACCUAAGUGCUUAAAUUAGCCUGGGUAGAGCGUCUAGGCGCUCCCUAGCAAAAAACGCCCAAUCUGAUUUUUCAACAUUUUAAUUUUUAUCCCCUUUUGAUUCAAUCUUUCAUAACUUGUUCAUUUUACAUCCAAUUGAGUUCAAACCACUUCUAUUAUUUCAUAAACUCAUAUCUUCAAUAUUUGAUCUCUUAAACAAAUAUCCAAAAUGUUUAUCUAGCCAAACUUAUUGAUUUUCCAAGCUAGGGUUCUCAUUUGACAUGUUUCACUAGAUAUUUCACCAUAAGUUCAUCCUAACUCCGUUUUUGAUGAUUCCACUUGGAUCGGGGUUGUAUUUCAUAAAUCUUCAACAUAAGAUUUUUAGAUCAAACAUAUAACUUAACACAUUUUGUUUCAUUUAACACCAAGUAUCAUGCUUUCAAGUAUUCUAUUCUAGGUUUCAUGCUUACAUGCUUUUUAUUUGAUCAUUUAGACAUGAAGACACUUAUAUGGCAUACAAGUCACAUAUUCUCCUUCCAAUACACAUCCUUAUAUCUUCGGAUCCUCCAUGAUCCCACAAAAUAUAGAACUCCCACAACCAAGCAUUCAUUUGCUAUUAUAAACAACAAUAUACUAACUUACUUGAAAGAUUAGGGUUAGAUUAGGAUCUUACCUUCUUAGUGCUCUUUUUCUCUUAGCUAUGAACUUCAAGUAGCUCUCCAUUUUCUCCUUUUUUAUCUCUUCUUGAAUCACCAAGGUGCACGAGUUCUUCCAAGUUUUUCUAUUUUCUCUUUAUUUCCUCUCUCUAGCUCUCCAACACUUAACAAUUUCAAAUAAGAAAGUAAACUUGGAAGAAGAAAUAGGUGUCUCCCAUUUAUAGAAGGAUUAUUAUCCAAUAACCAAGUCAUUAACUAAGGGUAAAAGGGUGUUUGGUGAAAAGUUUCACCAACUCUUCACUUUAGGUACGCAUAGCCACUAGCCUAUAUCAUCAUUUCUUCCCAUGGCCAAGCUUGUAAGGUUGGGUAAAAAAUUUCAACACUUAGCCAAAUGGGAAGGGUCGUGGUUUGGCCAUGGGGGAUUAUAUAUAUAUAUUGUAUUUUUUUUAUUUGUACUAUGCUAAAUUAUUUACAUACACACACAUAUAUAUAUUUACAUACAUAUACAUAUAUAUAUGCAUCCCACUCAACCCAUUACACAUUGGGAUUGUCCUUCAUUGGGCUACUAAUUAACUCAAUUUGGACCAUGCACCUUUACGCAUUGGGCUCAAUUUCAAUUCUAACCAUCCUAACUACUUGGGUCAUAAUUCCUAACACUUGCAAACAUGUCACAUUAUUCACAUUGGGCUUACAUGCACCCGUUAGUCUAUUACACUAUCCAAUUAUCUCUUAAUUAAUUUAACUUUAAAUAAUUAAUCAAUCUAUUUAAAUCAUCAUGCCACACAAGGCACCAUACUAAAGCUUAAUCAAGCUCAUCAUCAUUACCACCUUUAUCGAUU
rnacentral:lncRNA from 1 species